AGUGAACGCUGGCGGUAGGCCUAACACAUGCAAGUCGAACGGCAGCACAGUAAGAGCUUGCUCUUACGGGUGGCGAGUGGCGGACGGGUGAGGAAUACAUCGGAAUCUACUUUUUCGUGGGGGAUAACGUAGGGAAACUUACGCUAAUACCGCAUACGACCUACGGGUGAAAGCAGGGGAUAUUCGGACCUUGCGCGACUGAAUGAGCCGAUGUCGGAUUAGCUAGUUGGCGGGGUAAAGGCCCACCAAGGCGACGAUCCGUAGCUGGUCUGAGAGGAUGAUCAGCCACACUGGAACUGAGACACGGUCCAGACUCCUACGGGAGGCAGCAGUGGGGAAUAUUGGACAAUGGGCGCAAGCCUGAUCCAGCCAUACCGCGUGGGUGAAGAAGGCCUUCGGGUUGUAAAGCCCUUUUGUUGGGAAAGAAGAGCAGCAGGUUAAUACCCCGCUGUUCUGACGGUACCCAAAGAAUAAGCACCGGCUAACUUCGUG
rnacentral:rRNA from 1 species